AUUGAACGCUGGCGGCAGGCCUAACACAUGCAAGUCGAAUGGUAACAGGAAACAGCUUGCUGUUUCGCUGACGAGUGGCGGACGGGUGAGUAAUGUCUGGGAAACUGCCUGAUGGAGGGGGAUAACUACUGGAAACGGUAGCUAAUACCGCAUAACGUCGCAAGACCAAAGAGGGGGACCUUCGGGCCUCUUGCCAUCAGAUGUGCCAGAUGGGAUUAGCUAGUAGGUGGGUAACGGCUCACCUAGGCGACGAUCCCUAGCUGGUCUGAGAGGAUGACCAGCCACACUGGAACUGAGACACGGUCCAGACUCCUACGGGAGCAGCAGUGGGAAUAUUGCACAAUGGGCGCAAGCCUGAUGCAGCCAUGCCGCGUGUAUGAAGAAGGCCUUCGGUU
rnacentral:rRNA from 1 species